ACCACCACCUGCAUUUUAAGGAUUUAUGUUGUAAGUCAAUCCAGUGCCUUGGUAUCUUCGGUGAAGGUCACUGCUGGGAGUGAUGAGAAAGUAGAACAGUUAUGAUUCGGGCAGUGGUACAUAAGCUUGUAGAAGAAUAAAAUUCUCUUUGUUUUGCUUGCAGAACCUAAAUUUCUUCCACCUGCUUCCCUUCCUUCUUGGUUUCAGAGAAGCUAACCCUGUUAUAGCUGGACAUUACCGUAUUAAAAUUUAAUCUCCUUUCAUCAGUCUGGUCCAGAAAAUCUUUCCAUUUCAGUACGAGUAUUAUUACAGCUUCAGUCCGUAUCCAUUUUGGAGCUGAGCUUCUGCGUUUCCUCUCCCUUAGAGAUCCAGUGGGCCCGGGCCUCCAUCCCAAAGCAUGGAGUGGGUGGAGAAGGUGGGUGGCUGAGACGAAGUGGCCUCCUUUCUCGGCCUCAUCUGGUUCUGUGAAGUUGCUGCUGCCUGCUGUGUGCAAUGGUGACCAGGACUGAGGCUGAUGUCGCAUCACCGGAUAGCACACGAGAUGUCCUUUGGGUAUCCUGCCCAACUUCCUAGGUUUGUUUUCUUUACAGCAAAGCACACCCCACUUCUGCGAACUGGCCCUGGGGAGAGAGCAAGUGGUCUGGCUUUGUGAGGAAUACAAGGGAAAUGGGGAAAGAAAAGAAUCAGCCAACAAAAGAAAUUAUUUCCUGGAGAUAUGCAAAAUGAGAAGACACGCCAUCAAUCUACGUAAUUCUUUGUUUUGAUGUGUGAUUGUAGACAGGGCUACAAAGGAGAGCUUCCAGGCACGGUAAGUGUCCAACCCUGUCGGUGUUAGUUCCCGCAAAAGUCCAAUAAGGAAAAAAAAAAAAAGUGUGAUGGGUUUGAGCAUUAUUUGAAGGAGCACUGAGAAUCAAGAACAGGCAGCUCUGAGAGAUAAAUGACCUCAAGGCUCUCAUUUAGAAAUGAGGCCCUCCUGGGAUAGGGGACAACUGGAGGCCCACCGGCCACUAGAAGCAUCAAGAUCAUGAGAGCACACCUCCCUCUGGCGUGUGAGUGUUCUUUCUACGAGUCCAGAUUAAUCAGUGAAGAAUCGUUGUCCUUCACCAUGCUUACAAGUCCCAGCCUCUUCCAGUCUAAGUCUCCAAUGUGACAACAUUAUCCUUAAAAUCUUACCCUUGGUCCUAUGCCCUUCGAUCCAUCUUUCAAAUUUGAGCUUCUGAGAGAAGUCUUCUGUGACUACCCCUGCCUCCCUGUGCUCAUCUUUGCCUUGGUCCAAGUGCAGUGUCAUCUACUGAUUUAUGUGUAUUUGGGGAUUCUCCAGUCUGAACUACGUUCCCAGUGAAGUCUCAAGGCAUGGGGAUCUGUCCUGAUUUUUCUCUGAACUUUCAGAAGCCACGUAUAUGACACGUAAGGGCACAAUAUAUCCAAAGUGAGGUCCACACAAAAGUGAAGUUCAUGGGAUAAUUCCAUGAGCUUCUGCUAUUGUGGGAGCUGAGUGGAAAUAGUAUUCCAUGAUUGAGUAUAUCUAAGAAACAGUGAGUCAAAUAACUUCAAACACCUUUUCCUGAAUGACUUCUCAGAUGGUGCAUUUAUAAGAGGGUAAUUAGUAGGGCUUCUUGUCCCGAUUUUAUUUUAGAAUCCUUUUUUAUUCAAGAAAUGUACUUAGAAAAAUUCCAGUCUUAUGACAAUGAUUACUAGUGCAUAGAGAAUACCAAAUACUGGUGCAUAGAGAAUAACCUGGGGAGUUGACAAAUAUUUAGAUUUGUAAGCCUCAUCUUCACAGUGAGUGAGCCAAUAGUUCUUCCAGGGAACUCAGGAAUCUGCAUUUUAAAAAGCAUCCUAAGCGGUGCUUCUUAAACUUUAACUUGAAUAGGAAUUACCUGGGAUUUUGUUAAAAUGCAGAAAUUGAUUGCAUAAAAAUCCAGAAUGCUGGGGCGUUACUAGAUUCUGCAUUUCUAACAGUUCUUAGGUGAAGUUGUCGCUACUGGUCUGAAACCCGCACUUAGAGUAGCAAGGCUUCCAUGAUUCUGACCAUCCAGUGUUCUCCACUUCUGUUAUCAUCACAAAUGUCACUGUCUUCCAAGGUUUCUGUCACUUUCAAUUCAUGAGUGUUGCCUUAUUGGUUCAUAAUGAAAUUCAGAGUUGUAAUUUCUUUCAUUACUUAUUCUACCAUCUGAGAAGUGGAACAGUUAGCAAAUAUGUCAAGAUUUAUCAGGUGCUCUUGUUCUAAUCUUAACACGAUGUCCAGAUAGCUGCAGUCUUCAUAACUCACUAUUCCAUCGCCAGUCUGAGCCAGGUUUCUGAUCUGACUCAGAUACUGCCAUCCAGACCUCCAGUUUUACUGAACGUAUCUGCUACUUCCUUUUUUUGUUAUCGUUGUCAUAUAUUUGACUGUACAUUUGACUUCUACAUAUGUUAUAAGCCCCAUAAAUGUUAUGAAUGUUUU